rnacentral:lncRNA from 10 species
ACGCUGAAACACAGCUGAAGUGAAAUCAUAUGGUGCCUCUCAAAAUUGAAUUCAGGCGACUAAGAGUUAUUUGUUGUUUGGGAUUACCCAUUAGCAUGCCAGAUGGGAUGAUGGCAGAGUGGUGGCGUCCCAUGCGGUGUGGACCUACGUGGUAGAGAGGGGCGGCUGUGUGGCGGUUUGUCACAUCUAGAUCCAUGUUUUGCUUCCCUGGAGCCGCAUUCUUUUAGGACUACCUUGAUUUAUUCCGUCCCUGGGCUGGUGGGGCCGAGGAGUGUCGGAGGAGAGCCAGUGCUUUGCGUGGUCCUCUGAAUUCUGCCAGGGACUGCAUCGCCCUCUGCUUCCUCAACAGCGGCACCAGCUUUGUGGCCGGCUUUGCCAUCUUCUCCAUCCUGGGCUUCAUGUCUCAGGAGCAGGGGGUGCCCAUUUCUGAGGUGGCCGAGUCAGGCCCUGGCCUGGCUUUCAUCGCUUACCCGCGGGCUGUGGUGAUGCU